ensembl:processed_transcript Gm43813 predicted gene 43813
AGUGGUGGUGCAUGCCUUUAAUCCCAGUACUUGGGAGGCAGGGGAACCCUGUCUCAAAAAACCAAACCAAACCAAAAUAAAACAAAAAACAAAAACAAAAAACCACAACCAAAAAAAAAAAAAAAAGUGUGUCAGAUCCCUGGAAACUGUAGUUAUGAAUAGUUGUGAGCCAUGUAGUUGCUGGGAAUGGAAACUUGGUUCUCUGGAAGAACAAGUGCUCUUACACAAAGCCCUCUGACUUUGAUCUCUUUUUUAUUGUUUAUUGUUUUUUUUUCGAGCUAGGGUCUUACUAUGUAGCUCUUGGUGUCCUGGAACUCACUAUGUAGACCAGGCUGGCCUCAAAUCCACAGAAAUCUGCCUGCUUCUGCCUCCUGAGUGCUGGGACGAUCCCUGGCUGACUUUGAACUUCUAACACUCCUGUUUUUGUGUCCCAAGUACUGGGAUUCUAGCAUGAACCAGCACACCCCAAUGAAUUCCUUGUUUUGAAGGACUGCUAUGAUGGCCCAUGAAAGAUUCAGAUUAUCCUUUUUCCAGAAUCCAGUUACAUAGUGGGUAUAAAAUGUACAGUUCAGGCAGCCAGUGGUGAUCUUCUGUCUUCUGUUGAAACUCCUUUGUGUGGUUAGAAUUGCAGGCCACAGAGGCUUGCGUUUCAGGCCAAGCUGUUUGGGUCACAAGCUUUAAGCAGUCUCUGAUGCCGGCUUGAGGAGGGUGCUGAUUAGUGACACCAAUUCCAGUACCUCCUGGUCUACCAGAGGGCUCUGGAGACUGGAGCUAGAGCCAGGCAGCCCUCAUUCUCAGCAGGGGAGAACUGCUGUCUCCUUGAGAAGUGGCUUUCCUUUACAAUCUCAUCCCCUCCCCCUUUCUUCUUUCUUGUUCUCCGCUGCAGGAGCUUCUGCACCCUUGGGUUUGCAUGGCCAAUGUUCCUGUGCAGAUCUUCCUGUCACCAUGAGUGCUCUUUACCCGUUGCCUAUUAAAUUAACCCUAUAGUCUCCAAACUAGACGUUUGAGAAGGAGGCAAGGGGAAGGCUGGGUGGCUCCCCCUCACUGGGCAGAACCUCUCCAGCCACAGAGCUGGAAUCUAGCUGGCAUCUUAUUUGUCUGUUGCUCGAUUGAGUCCUCAUUUCCUAACAUGUAUUCAUGAGGUGUGUCUGCUUUGGAAAUACAGUAGAUGAAUUAGUUAUCUGUCUCCAUCAUGAAACUUCUUUUCUGGCAGGAGUCAAUAAGCAAAUUGGAGUGCCAUGGAGAACAUAAAGCAAAACAAGGGAUGGUUCAGGGGUUUGGAAAAGUGGGCAGAUACUCUGAGCUGUUCAGAGAAGUGCUCUGAGGAGGUGAUAUUCCAAGUUGACCUGAAACCUGAGUGGGAAGUAGAAGCCAGCCAUGGACAGUAGAAGAGGCCCAAGGUGAAGUGAGCAUGGCGGUUCCGGUGUUAGAAACACCAGUAGGACUAGAUGUUGAUCAGAGACCAUGGAAAAAGAUGAACUUGAAGAAGCAAAAGGACUUAUGACUCAUAGUGGGAAUGAGGGUAUUAUUCUCACUGAAUUAGGAAUACUGAUUUACUUCCACAGGCAGGCAGCUUGUUAUGGCUAGCCGACUGGGACUUAUCUAAGGAAACUAGUCUGUAGAGGCUAGAGUUGAAAUGAGCUUUUUUUUUUUGUUUUGUUUUGUUUUUUUUUUUGGAUAGGGUCCCAAGGGAUUAAAAGCAAGCAUUCCUCUUGAAGCUGUUGAACUUUAUUCUCCGACCAGUGUGUCCAUGCUGGGACAGUAAGAAUUGGAUGAAUCCAAGAUGGUUUUGGAGUUGCUAGUGAAUCAGACAUGGGAGAUGGAUAGGAUGAUGGGAGGAAGGGAAAGAAUUGACUUUCCGGAUGGCUGAGCAACUGAGACUAAGGGUCCCCUGUGGAGCUGGUGUCUGUUGUAGACCUUGGCUCCUAGGGAUCGUGGGCAGCUUCACAGAGGGGAUUGCCAGGCCUUAUCAGAGUGAUGGGCCUCACACUCAUACACUCAGUCCUGCCCACUCCAGGAACUUGUGUUUGUUCUUUAAGCUAUGCUGCUCUGUCAGAGACAAUCUCUGAGCUGAGCUCUAUGUACUUAUAGUCAUGGUUGUAUUUUCUCCCCACCUUUUUUGUUUGAAACAGGGUCUUACAUCUCAGCCCAGGCUAUUCUCAAACUCAUGACAAUCCUCUCUGCUGUGCCUUUUUUCUUUUGGACAGGGUUUUCUCUGUGUAGCUCUGGCUCCUGGUCUANNNNNNNNNNNNNNNNNNNNNNNN